CGGGGCGUAGCGCAGCCCGGUAGCGCACUUGACUGGGGGUCAAGGGGUCGUGGGUUCGAAUCCCGCCGCCCCGACCA
rnacentral:tRNA from 11 species